CCUACGGGUGGCAGCAGUGAGGAAUAUUGGUCAAUGGACGAGAGUCUGAACCAGCCAAGUAGCGUGAAGGAUGACUGCCCUAUGGGUUGUAAACUUCUUUUAUAUGGGAAUAAAACGUUCCACGUGUGGGAUUUUGUAUGUACCAUAUGAAUAAGGAUCGGCUAACUCCGUGCCAGCAGCCGCGGUAAUACGGAGGAUCCGAGCGUUAGCCGGAUUUAUUGGGUUUAAAGGGAGCGUAGGUGGAUUGUUAAGUCAGUUGUGAAAGUUUGCGGCUCAACCGUAAAAUUGCAGUUGAAACUGGCAGUCUUGAGUACAGUAGAGGUGGGCGGAAUUCGUGGUGUAGCGGUGAAAUACUUAGAUAGCACGAAGAACUCCGAUUGCGAAGGCAGUUCACUGGACUGCAACUGACACUGAGGCUCGAAAGUGUGGGUAUCAAACAGGAUUAGAUACCCGUGUAGUC
rnacentral:rRNA from 1 species